UGAAGGCGGAGAUGUGUGAGGCGUCAACUACAUUUCCCAGAAGGCCGCAGAGCGGGGCGGGGUGGGGAUCAGAGCUUGCAGACUGCCAGCGCCAGGGAUUUCGGGGCGAGAGGCAUGACUCUCCGUAGGGGUCUUAGUCCAAGGUGAACUUUAAUCUUUUAAGUAUGCGGGGGAAAUGGAAGAUGACGCGCGGCUCCCUAGUAAGGAUAACCUCAAACACGCAGUAUCACGUUGGUUCAGGAAUCCCUUGCUCACCGCGACUGACAUCUGGCGAGGCGAUGGACGAGGAAACGGGAGGUAACAGAUUGGAACGUUCAGCCUACGCGCAAGUUCUGCAGGAGGGAAUCUAACGCAGCCACCGAAAGCAAAUUCAUUAACCAUGUGAUGCCCAUCCACCCACCCACCCACCAGCAACAGCUGGCAGAAAGAGCCAUUUUUAUCCCCAGAGCAAGGCGUUUAAGAAUUUAUCAUUUUCCCCAAUAUAAAUUCAGAGUUAUUUUUCAUGUUACAACCUAAUGUGGGUCUUCUCUUCCUUGGUUAUAAAUAAGUUGCAUUUAGGCUACAUAUGCAUAAUCCACUCUUUUAAUUGACUGAAUUAUUUCCCAUGUUUGGGAGGCUUUGAGCUCUCUUUUCCUUUACACGGUGCUGGCCGUAGAGACUGAGUCUCCUCGGGCACAAUUUGGCCUGCCCAGAGGUCUUCUAAUUUCAGGGCAGAAGUAUCCAUAGAUAGAUGCUAUCAUGUGCCAACAAUUUCCAGGCCGGUCCUGGAGGGAGUGGCUAUUUUUGUUUUGUUUUGUUUUUGUUUUAUACAAAAUCUAGAUAGACCAUUUACAUUUGGCAAUGCUAAAGCAAUGGUGGUGAAACAAGAAAAUCACUGCCAAAUGAGAACUUGUGACAAAGUCAAAUUAUUAAUAAAUACACUGUGGGCACUGGCACAUGAAAUAUAUCUAAGAGAAUGAGGCUGUCUUCGGAGACCAAGGCAACAAAGGCCAAACUCCUAGAAAGAGACUAGAUAAGGGAAUGUAGCAGGACACAGAGACAAAACUCAAAGAACAAGGAUAACAAGAGACAGAUGAGGAAUCCUCCAAGCAGGAGGAAGAUGGGGACCUGCACUCUUGUGGACCAGGGAAAGAGUGAAGCCCUCAAGUAGAAACUGUCCUAGAGUAGGCCCGAAGGACCCAUGAUGUACACCUGUGCUGACCAGGAUGGUAGCCACUCACCACAAGAGGCCAUUUAAAUCUAACUCAAAUAAUAUGAAAUCAAAUGUAAAAUUUUGUUUCUCAGUCACUCUAACCACAUUUCAACUGCUCAAUUGGAAUGCACAAAUACAGAUCAUUUCGAUUUAUUGCACACAGUUGGCAUUGCUGGUCUAGACAUGUCUUGCCUCUCAGCAGCUCUGGACACUUGGAAGAAGAGACUUCAGACAGUUUCUUAGAAGAUGGAGCAAGAAAGGAGGAGUCUGCAUACUUUGCCAGGCAGAACAAAACACAACCUGCAGGCCUCAGGGAAGACUCAUGGGCAUUCAGACUGAAUGAACACACUGGAAGUUAAACUGGAAUGUUGAGUGUCCAACUAUUCACCCUGAGAGGUGCUCUGCAAAGGCAAGGCUGAAGCCAUUUAAGAAUAGCCAGCUGUUAGAGAGGCAGGAUCGGAAAAUGGUCUGUGUGAAAAACAAGAUGAGGUAACUAAGACUCAGAAGGUGAAGCAGCUGCCAAGCAACUGUGGAAAGGCAGCUCCAUGUCUGACUCUGCUGUGCAGCUCUCCUACUCUUCAUGGCAGCCCCUGGCCCCACAGCGACACCAGAACGGACCAGCCUGGAGAUCUAGACUCAGUGGGAAUGGUCUACCUAGCUACCUGUCCUGGAACAUACACAGCAUCCUGGGUCAUGGAGUCUCACCUGCUAGAUGACCUCCCGGUCCCUUCCCGCUUUGGGGAGCAAUAGCACCCUGCUUCAGGUUUCCAAUCAGAAGCAAAUCAUGAUGAGCAAUGGUUUUGACCAGACUGGGUGCAGCAGCAAGUGAGAAGGUGGCCUGGGCCCAUGCAGGUGGGAGAUGCUGCGUUGCAGUCCUCAACGUUCUCAUACUUGCACCCAUGUAACUCUGGACAAGGGCAGUUUUUUCUUUCUCAGUGCCCUGGGGGCCAGUCAUGGAAAGGGACAAAAGGGCAGCCAAAUCUGUCCCAUAGGAAGCUCUGUGCUUAUUCCUCCACACCCUUCAUCCAUCCAUCCAUCCAUCCAUCCGUCUAACCAAAUGGCUUUAUUGAGGUAUAAUUGACUAUAAUAAACUGCACAAUGUGAUGAGCUUUGAUGUGUGUCACCUGUGAGAUCACCACUCUACUCCAUAAAAUGAACGCAUCUGUCACCCAAAGUUUCCUCAUGUGCCUUUGCAUUUCCUCCCACCCACCCACCCUUAUUUCAUGGACAUACACAGACCAUAUUUCUUAUAA